AGACUUCCUAUCCAGUAGCCUUCACUGCAUAGAUUUCACUAUAAUGAAAGACUUCUUUAAUUUUUCCCAGUUGAUUAUUAAAUUAGAGGUGCCUAGAGGUUAGUGUGGAUAGAGCACGGAACUUGGGCAUUCUAACAAUAAGUAUUUAAAACUGAGUGAGGCUCAGCCUCCUUUCUCACGGAGUUUAUAAUCUAUAAGCGCAUAGAUUCUCCCUGUCAAAGAGCCAAGUUCUCUGGGCCAUCUCAGGACCACGAUGGAGGCCAAACACUUCUAGUGGGCUCAGAAUUUAUCUGCUGCCCUUGGGACCAGAGUGUGACUCAGUGGUCAUCCAGACCUGAAGAGGCUGUUCUAGAGAGAAGACCCUUCUGUUUACAGUCUCACCACCUAAACCUGUAGAGUCUGGUCAUUCUGUAAGCACCUGCUGGCAGGCAAUGAGUUUGACAGCAAUUUACCUAUAACAUCCAGAUCUCAGUGAUGAUACCAGAAGGGCACCUGACCACACAAGAAGGAGCCUCUUUCCUGUUGCUGCAAGAUGCUGAAAAAUCCUAGUCCAGACUGCAAGUUACCUACAUCUACUGAUUGGCUACUGGGGAUAGCAAAGGUUUUUCAGAAAUUUUGGUUCUUAAUGGAAGAAGAAUCAGUCAUUGAGAUUAUUCUUGUGGUAGGAUGCCAUAUCACCAAUGUAGACCUCCUGCACUCAGGCUCAGUUGUGGCAGACUGCGGUGUCCACCAAAAUCCAUUCUCCCUUUUUUCCUGGUACAACUAG
rnacentral:lncRNA from 1 species